rnacentral:rRNA from 1 species
UUAAGCGACUAAGCGUACACGGUGGAUGCCUUGGCAGUCAGAGGCGAUGAAGGACGUGCUAAUCUGCGAUAAGCGUCGGUAAGGUGAUAUGAACCGUUAUAACCGGCGAUUUCCGAAUGGGGAAACCCAGUGUGUUUCGACACACUAUCAUUAACUGAAUCCAUAGGUUAAUGAGGCGAACCGGGGGAACUGAAACAUCUAAGUACCCCGAGGAAAAGAAAUCAACCGAGAUUCCCCCAGUAGCGGCGAGCGAACGGGGAGCAGCCCAGAGCCUGAAUCAGUGUGUGUGUUAGUGGAAGCGUCUGGAAAGGCGCGCGAUACAGGGUGACAGCCCCGUACACAAAAAUGCACAUACUGUGAGCUCGAUGAGUAGGGCGGGACACGUGGUAUCCUGUCUGAAUAUGGGGGGACCAUCCUCCAAGGCUAAAUACUCCUGACUGACCGAUAGUGAACCAGUACCGUGAGGGAAAGGCGAAAAGAACCCCGGCGAGGGGAGUGAAAAAGAACCUGAAACCGUGUACGUACAAGCAGUGGGAGCCUCUUAAUGGGGUGACUGCGUACCUUUUGUAUAAUGGGUCAGCGACUUAUAUUCUGUAGCAAGGUUAACCGAAUAGGGGAGCCGAAGGGAAACCGAGUCUUAACUGGGCGUUAAGUUGCAGGGUAUAGACCCGAAACCCGGUGAUCUAGCCAUGGGCAGGUUGAAGGUUGGGUAACACUAACUGGAGGACCGAACCGACUAAUGUUGAAAAAUUAGCGGAUGACUUGUGGCUGGGGGUGAAAGGCCAAUCAAACCGGGAGAUAGCUGGUUCUCCCCGAAAGCUAUUUAGGUAGCGCCUCGUGAAUUCAUCUCCGGGGGUAGAGCACUGUUUCGGCAAGGGGGUCAUCCCGACUUACCAACCCGAUGCAAACUGCGAAUACCGGAGAAUGUUAUCACGGGAGACACACGGCGGGUGCUAACGUCCGUCGUGAAGAGGGAAACAACCCAGACCGCCAGCUAAGGUCCCAAAGUCAUGGUUAAGUGGGAAACGAUGUGGGAAGGCCCAGACAGCCAGGAUGUUGGCUUAGAAGCAGCCAUCAUUUAAAGAAAGCGUAAUAGCUCACUGGUCGAGUCGGCCUGCGCGGAAGAUGUAACGGGGCUAAACCAUGCACCGAAGCUGCGGCAGCGACACUAUGUGUUGUUGGGUAGGGGAGCGUUCUGUAAGCCUGUGAAGGUGUACUGUGAGGUAUGCUGGAGGUAUCAGAAGUGCGAAUGCUGACAUAAGUAACGAUAAAGCGGGUGAAAAGCCCGCUCGCCGGAAGACCAAGGGUUCCUGUCCAACGUUAAUCGGGGCAGGGUGAGUCGACCCCUAAGGCGAGGCCGAAAGGCGUAGUCGAUGGGAAACAGGUUAAUAUUCCUGUACUUGGUGUUACUGCGAAGGGGGGACGGAGAAGGCUAUGUUGGCCGGGCGACGGUUGUCCCGGUUUAAGCGUGUAGGCUGGUUUUCCAGGCAAAUCCGGAAAAUCAAGGCUGAGGCGUGAUGACGAGGCACUACGGUGCUGAAGCAACAAAUGCCCUGCUUCCAGGAAAAGCCUCUAAGCAUCAGGUAACAUCAAAUCGUACCCCAAACCGACACAGGUGGUCAGGUAGAGAAUACCAAGGCGCUUGAGAGAACUCGGGUGAAGGAACUAGGCAAAAUGGUGCCGUAACUUCGGGAGAAGGCACGCUGAUAUGUAGGUGAAGUCCCUUGCGGAUGGAGCUGAAAUCAGUCGAAGAUACCAGCUGGCUGCAACUGUUUAUUAAAAACACAGCACUGUGCAAACACGAAAGUGGACGUAUACGGUGUGACGCCUGCCCGGUGCCGGAAGGUUAAUUGAUGGGGUUAGCGGUAACGCGAAGCUCUUGAUCGAAGCCCCGGUAAACGGCGGCCGUAACUAUAACGGUCCUAAGGUAGCGAAAUUCCUUGUCGGGUAAGUUCCGACCUGCACGAAUGGCGUAAUGAUGGCCAGGCUGUCUCCACCCGAGACUCAGUGAAAUUGAACUCGCUGUGAAGAUGCAGUGUACCCGCGGCAAGACGGAAAGACCCCGUGAACCUUUACUAUAGCUUGACACUGAACAUUGAGCCUUGAUGUGUAGGAUAGGUGGGAGGCUUUGAAGUGUGGACGCCAGUCUGCAUGGAGCCGGCCUUGAAAUACCACCCUUUAAUGUUUGAUGUUCUAACGUUGGCCCCUGAUCGGGGUUGCGGACAGUGUCUGGUGGGUAGUUUGACUGGGGCGGUCUCCUCCUAAAGAGUAACGGAGGAGCACGAAGGUUGGCUAAUCCUGGUCGGACAUCAGGAGGUUAGUGCAAUGGCAUAAGCCAGCUUGACUGCGAGCGUGACGGCGCGAGCAGGUGCGAAAGCAGGUCAUAGUGAUCCGGUGGUUCUGAAUGGAAGGGCCAUCGCUCAACGGAUAAAAGGUACUCCGGGGAUAACAGGCUGAUACCGCCCAAGAGUUCAUAUCGACGGCGGUGUUUGGCACCUCGAUGUCGGCUCAUCACAUCCUGGGGCUGAAGUAGGUCCCAAGGGUAUGGCUGUUCGCCAUUUAAAGUGGUACGCGAGCUGGGUUUAGAACGUCGUGAGACAGUUCGGUCCCUAUCUGCCGUGGGCGCUGGAGAACUGAGGGGGGCUGCUCCUAGUACGAGAGGACCGGAGUGGACGCAUCACUGGUGUUCGGGUUGUCAUGCCAAUGGCACUGCCCGGUAGCUAAAUGCGGAAGAGAUAAGUGCUGAAAGCAUCUAAGCACGAAACUUGCCCCGAGAUGAGUUCUCCCUGACUCCUUGAGAGUCCUGAAGGAACGUUGAAGACGACGACGUUGAUAGGCCGGGUGUGUAAGCGCAGCGAUGCGUUGAGCUAACCGGUACUAAUGAACCGUGAGGCUUAACCU